rnacentral:rRNA from 1 species
AUUGAACGCUGGCGGCAGGCCUAACACAUGCAAGUCGAGCGAGCGGCGGACGGGAGAGUAAUGUCUGGGAAGCGGCCUGCUGGAGGGGGAUAAAUAAUGGACACGGUAGCUAAUACCGCAUAACAUCAGAUGUGCCCAGAUGGGAUUAGCUAGUAGGUGGGGUAAUGGCUCACCUAGGCGACGAUCCCGAGCUGGUCUGAGAGGCUGACCAGCCACCCUGUAACUGAGAAACGGUCCAGACUCCUACGGGAGGCAGCAGUGGGGAAUAUUGCACAAUGGGCGCAAGCCUGAUGCAGCCAUGCCGCGUGUGUGAAGAAGGCCUUCGGGUUGUAAAGCACUUUCAGCGGGGAUGCGUUACCCGCAGAAGAAGCACCGGCUAACUCCGUGCCAGCAGCCGCGGUAAUAC